CGGAGUUGCUAGGGCUGAGAGCAAAGGUGUCGCCAUUGGCUGGAGGCCCUAGAAGGACUAGAUGUUCCCUCUUCGAAGUGCGUGGGAGUCAAGGCUUGGAAAUGGCGCAGUGAGGUCUGGAGGCUGGGAAAUCCAAAAUCAGGAUGUCAGCAGAUGUGGUGUGUUUGGCAAGAGCGCACUUCCUGUUUUAUAGAUGGCUGUCUUCUAGCUGUGCCCUCACAGGUGCUCUCUCAUGGAAUCCAAGAAGAACUAAACUACCAAACGGGUCUCUGGAAAGGCAGAAGACAGGGAAGCUCUGGGGACCCUGACAACAGCUGCUCACAAAUCUUCCCUUUGGAAUUCUGCCAUUAACAGGACUCAGAGCCAAACGUCUCUGAUCUCUGUGUAUCUCAGUUCAAAAUUCAAAUUCUCGGGCAGGAGGAUCUGAUUGGCUGUGCUGUGAUCAGCAGGCUGCUGCUGCUCCAAUCAAGGAUGGCCAGGAGACAGGGUUGCUUUCUCCGUAUGUGCACCUCUAAUGCAGAGCCACCAGCCGUGUGUGGCUACGGAACACUUGCAAGGUGGCUGGGACACUGAGGAAAUGAAUUUUUUCAUUUUACUUGUUAUUCUUUUAAA